GGCGCCGUGGCUUAGUUGGUUUAAGCGCUUGCCUCAUAAGCAGGAGAUCCUGGGUUCCACUCCCAGCGGUGCCU